AAAGCCAGGACUUUAGUUCUAAAGUCCUGGCUUAUCGAUGAAAUUAAAAAUGAGC
rnacentral:sRNA from 1 species